rnacentral:rRNA from 1 species
UACGUAGGAGACGAGCGUUGUCCGGAGUUACUGGGCGUAAAGAGCGUGUAGGCGGCCAGGUAGGUCGGUUGUGAAAACUGGAGGCUCAACCUUCAGAGGUCGACCGAAACCAUCUGGCUAGAGUCCGGGAGAGGAGAGUGGAAUUCCUGGUGUAGCGGUGAAAUGCGCAGAUAUCAGGAAGAACACCCGUGGCGAAAGCGGCUCUCUGGAACGGUACUGACGCUGAGACGCGAAAGCGUGGGGAGCGAACAGG